rnacentral:rRNA from 1 species
ACGGAGGCAGCAGUGGGGAAUAUUGCACAAUGGGGGAAACCCUGAUGCAGCGACGCCGCGUGAACGAAGAAGUAUUUCGGUAUGUAAAGUUCUAUCAGCAGGGAAGAAAAUGACGGUACCUGACUAAGAAGCCCCGGCUAACUACGUGCCAGCAGCCGCGGUAAUACGUAGGGGGCAAGCGUUAUCCGGAUUUACUGGGUGUAAAGGGAGCGUAGACGGUAGUGCAAGUCUGAAGUGAAAGCUCGCAGCUUAACUGCGGAACUGCUUUGGAAACUGUACAACUAGAGUACCGGAGGGGUAAGCGGAAUUCCUAGUGUAGCGGUGAAAUGCGUAGAUAUUAGGAAGAACACCGGUGGCGAAGGCGGCUUACUGGACGGUAACUGACGUUGAGGCUCGAAAGCGUGGGGAGCAAACAGGAUUAGAUACCCUGGUA